GCAUCGGCGAGGCCAGGGGUAAAGGCGAGGUCGAAGAUGCCGUCGAACAAGGGGAGAUUGUGGGGGUAGGCGCGGCUGACGAGUGAGAGGAAAUCGAGAAGGUCGACGCCGGUGACGUCGGCAACGCCGGAAUCGCGGAGGGCGGCGACCGACUGGCCGGCGCCGGCGGAGACACAGAGGACGCAGGAGGAGUUGGAGAGAAGGCGGAGGGUGCGGAGGGGGGAGAACACAGCGGCGGAGAGGGAGGCGGCGUGGCGAGAUUGUCGGUGCAGCCCUCUUGCUCUCAGCGCCGGCCAUGGUGGCGGAGGAGGACGACGACGGGACGGAUGAAUUUGGCCGGAGAGAAAGUGAGAAUAAGUUAAGGAAAUAGUUUAAUAAGGUACGGGCAAAAUAGGUAUUUUAAUUUGGUUUUAACUCUGGUAUACAUUUAACCCAUGUUUAACCCGAGUUAGUUUAACAGGGACUAACUGCAGGGGUAUUUUGGAAUAACGGUGGAACAUAUGAUGGGCAUUUUAGAAAGAAAAAAAAAAGUAGGGGUAUAUCGGAUAUUUCCAGACGCAUGAGGGGU
rnacentral:lncRNA from 1 species